CUUCGUAAGGACACCGAAGCCGGCGGACGACUUGACCUCGCCGCCGGCUUCGGAAAGCA
rnacentral:sRNA from 1 species